UACGGGGGGGGCAAGCGUUGUUCGGAAUUACUGGGCGUAAAGGGCUCGUAGGCGGCCAACUAAGUCGGAUGUGAAAUCCCCAGGCUUAACCUGGGAACUGCAUCCGAUACUGGAUGGCUUGAAUUCGGGAGAGGGAUGCAGAAUUCCAGGUGUAGCGGUGAAAUGCGUAGAUAUCUGGAGGAAUACCGGUGGCGAAGGCGGCAUCCUGGACCGACAUUGACGCUGAUGAGCGAAAGCUAGGGGAGCAGAUGGG
rnacentral:rRNA from 1 species